GAUGAACGCUGGCGGCGUGCCUAAUACAUGCCAGUCGAGCGAACGGACGAGAAGCUUGCUUCUCUGAUGUUAGCGGCGGACGGGUGAGUAACACGUGGAUAACCUACCUAUAAGACUGGGAUAACUUCGGGAAACCGUAGCUAAUACCGGAUAAUAUUUUGAACCGCAUGGUUCAAAAGUGAAAGACGGUCUUGCUGUCACUUAUAGAUGGAUCCGCGCUGCAUUAGCUAGUUGGUAAGGUAACGGCCUACCAAGGCAACGAGGCAUAGCCGACCGGAGAGGGUGAUAGGCCACACGGGAACGGGGACACGGUCCAGAGGCCUACGGGAGGGAGCAGUAGGGAAUCUUCGGCAAUGGGCGAAAGCAUGACGGAGCAAGGCCGAGUGAGUGAUGAAGGUCUUCGGAGCGUAAAACUCUGUUAUGAGGGAAGAACAGAUGUGGAAGUAACCGUGCAGAGCUUGACGGUACCGAAUCAGAAAGCAACGGCUAACUACGUG
rnacentral:rRNA from 1 species